ACAAUGUGAUCAACACUGCAGAAGGGAAGCAGGGCAGAUGGUGAGCUCCUACUCCUAGGCCACAUCUACCUUAGCAGAGGAGAGCAUUCUGUACAGCCUUGGGGCGAGUGGGAGAGAUACUCAGGAGUCAGCAGAGCUUGACCACAGAAGGGAGAGGAAACAGAAGAAUGGCCCAGAACAGGAGGCAGUCUGCUGAGCUCGCUACAGCCAGAGAACCUCACCAGACACAGAGCACAGUCUCAUCUUCCUGCCUGGAGUCGGCCAGCACCAGGAGCAACCCUCAGGCCUUCCUAGCUCUCCAGCCUCCUGCUCCCUCUCUACCUCAGCUCCAGCACAGAUUUCCUCACCCCUGGAGUUCCUUCUUCUUCCUCCAUUUCCACUUGCUCUACCCCUGUCCUGCCUGAAGAAUAGAUUUUGCAGGCAAAUAAAGUGUUAAAUAUACAAUUUGGGUUAAGUGUUGAACUUGGAUCAAGGUUAACAGAAACAGGGUGCCAAUUCUCCAAACUUCCUCAUACAGCCACCGACCAGGUAGUGGAGGCAUAGCAGAUCGAGACCUCCUGACUGCAUGAGCAACAAGCCACAGACAAAAGAGCAGAGACAUAUAUACAAUCAGGUGCCAUUUCCUUGCAGACUCUCCAGGGGCCUUGAAGAGCAUCCCCAAACCCAAACAUAACAGCAUCUUAAAGCAGAACAUCAUGUGGGAGUGGAGUGGAGAGUGAUGUUUAACAGUAUGAAGAUGUGUGCAGUCUUGGUGAAGAACACCAUCAUGAAACUGAGCAGGAAGGAUCACAGUAUUCAGAAGCAAAAGGGUCAGUAUAUAUUAACUGAUUUUGUUUUAAUGUCAUGAGAAAGAAAGCCAACUCCUAUCUCAAGCUGAGGGGGAAGCUAACCACAGCAGAGCCAUUCUUAAGGGUUUUAUAUUAGCCCCAUGACAGGCCAGCACUAUAGACCGCCAACUGUCAAUAGACUUGACAGAACCACUUAAGCUAAUUAACUAGUUAGAUCUUUGAAAUGCAAGGGGAACUGCAUUGCGCAAUUAUCCUAAAACUGCAAACUGCUAAAUAAAUAUUGCAUGCCUUUGGUAAAUAAA